rnacentral:rRNA from 1 species
GAGUUUGAUCGUGGCUCAGGAUGAACGCUGGCGGCGUGCCUAAUACAUGCAAGUCGAGCGAACAGACGAGGAGCUUGCUCCUCUGACGUUAGCGGCGGACGGGUGAGUAACACGUGGAUAACCUACCUAUAAGACUGGGAUAACUUCGGGAAACCGGAGCUAAUACCGAAUAAUAUAUUGAACCGCAUGGUUCAAUAGUGAAAAACGGUUUUGCUGCCACUUAUAGAUGGAUCCGCGCCGCAUUAGCUAGUUGGUAGGGUAACGGCUUACCAAGGCGACGAUGCGUAGCCGACCUGAGAGGGUGAUCGGCCACACUGGAACUGAGACACGGUCCAGACUCCUACGGGAGGCAGCAGUAGGGAAUCUUCCGCAAUGGGCGAAAGCCUGACGGAGCAACGCCGCGUGAGUGAUGAAGGUCUUCGGAUCGUAAAACUCUGUUAUUAGGGAAGAACGAAAUGUGUAAGUAACUAUGCACGUCUUGACGGUACCUAAUACAGAAAGCCACGGCUAACUACGUGCCAGCCG